ACGGGUACGGGGUGUUAGGGCACGACACCGGAGAGGGAGCCUGAGAAACGGCUACCACAUCCAAGGAAGGCAGCAGGCGCGCAAAUUACCCAAUCCCGACAUGGGGAGGUAGUGACAAUAAAUAACAAUACAGGGUUCUUUUGGAUCUUGUAAUUGGAAUGAGUACAAUUUAAAUCUCUUAACGAGGAACAAUUGGAGGGCAAGUCUGGUGCCAGCAGCCGCGGUAAUUCCAGCUCCAAUAGCGUAUAUUAAAGUUGUUGCAGUUAAAAAGCUCGUAGUUGAAUUUCGGGAUCAAGGNAUNGGUCAUGCCUNGGUAUGUACUGGUNUUNUUGGUUCUCACCUUCUAAAGAACCAUGAUGUCAUUNAUUUGAUGUUAUGGGGAAUUANGACUGUUACCUUGAAAAAAUUANAGUGUUUAAAGCAAGCUUACGCUUGAAUACAUUANCAUGGAAUAAUGAAAUAGGACAUCANAUUCUAUUUUGUUGGUUUCUAGGAUCGAUGUAAUGAUUAAUAGGGAUAGUUGGGGGCAUUANUAUUCANUUGUCANAGGUGAAAUUCUUGGAUUUAUUGAAGACUAACUACUGCGAAAGCAUUUGCCAAGGAUGUUUUCAUUAAUCANGAACGAAAGUUAGGGGAUCGAAGACNAUNANAUACCGUCGUAGUCUUAACCAUAAACUAUGCCGACNAGGGAUCGGAUGAUGUUAAUUUUUUAAUGACUCANUCNGCACCUUACNGGAAACCAAAUUUUUNNGGNUUNCC
rnacentral:rRNA from 1 species